AGUCUGGUGCCAGCAGCCGCGGUAAUACGGAGGAUGCAAGCGUUAUCCGGAAUCAUUGGGCGUAAAGCGUCCGCAGGUGGUUUCCAAAGUCUGCUGUUAAAGACUGGAGCUCAACUCCGGAACGGCGGUGGAAACUUGGAAACUAGAGUUCGGUAGGGGUAGCAGGAAUUCCCAGUGUAGCGGUGAAAUGCGUAGAUAUUGGGAAGAACAUCGGUGGCGAAGGCGUGCUACUGGACCGUAACUGACACUCAGGGACGAAAGCUAGGGGAGCGAAAGGGAUUAGAUACCCCUGUAGUCCUAGCUGUAAACGAUGGAAACUAGGUGUGGCUUGUAUCGACCCGAGCCGUGCCGUAGCUAACGCGUUAAGUUUCCCGCCUGGGGAGUACGCACGCAAGUGUGAAACUCAAAGGAAUUGACGGGGGCCCGCACAAGCGGUGGAGUAUGUGGUUUAAUUCGAUGCAACGCGAAGAACCUUACCAGGGCUUGACAUGUCGCGAAUCUCGGUGAAAGCUGAGAGUGCCUUCGGGAGCGCGAACACAGGUGGUGCAUGGCCGUUCUUA
rnacentral:rRNA from 1 species